rnacentral:rRNA from 1 species
AAUCAACGCUGGCGGCGUGCCUCAGACAUGCAAGUCGAACGCGAAAGUUCCCUUCGGGGAGCAAGUAGAGUGGCGCACGGGUGAGUAACACGUAGGUAAUUUGCCUUCGGGUGGGGAAUAACAGUCGGAAACGACUGCUAAUACCGCAUAAUGCAGCGGCUCGACAUCGAGACAGUUGUUAAAGCGGGGAGUCCUUCGGGACCUCGCGCCUGAAGAGAAGCCUGCGGCAGAUUAGCUAGUUGGUGAGGUAAUGGCCCACCAAGGCUACGAUCUGUAACCGGCCUGAGAGGGCGGGUCGGUCACACUGACACUGACAUACGGGUC